rnacentral:lncRNA from 1 species
UCUUUUUCAUCCUUUUUCUCUCGAGUUUGAAAGCUAACUUUCUGAACCUUAUUCUAUUGGAGAGGGGUGUAUCGUGUAAUUAAGAUAUAUUUGCUGUAUAGUUUAGUAAAGUAUCUUUACACAUUUUUUUUUUUUUUUUGUGAAUAAUAAUCAAAGAGGUUCUGGGCCGAAAGCUUAUACAUCCCCUCAGGCCCAAAAUCAAAACAUGUUAUAUGAUUUCGUCUCAAGCACUACUCAAACCGGCGACCUCUAAGCUUUUGCCAGAGAUCUUUACCAAUUGAGGUAUUAUCACUUGGUCAUCUUUACACAUUUAGGUUAUUUGUAAUCGUGUAUAUAAGGCAAAGCCUACACAUCUUAAUAAAGCGAGAAAACCUUUUAUACUAA